GGGCCAGUAGGUUGGUCGUGCCACCGGUACGUACUGGUCUCACUGAUUCCUCCUUCCUGAAGAACCGUAAUGCCAUUAAUUUGGUGUUGCGGGGAAACAGGACUGUUACUUUGAAAAAAUUAGAGUGUUUAAAGCAAGCUAACGCUUGAAUACAUUAGCAUGGGAUAAUGAAAUAGGACGAUCGAUCCUAUUUUGCUGGUUUCUAGGAUCGACGUA
rnacentral:rRNA from 1 species